CGUACACUCCUACGGGAGGCAGCAGUGGGGAAUAUUGGACAAUGGGCGCAAGCCUGAUCCAGCCAUGCCGCGUGAGUGAUGAAGGCCCUAGGGUUGUAAAGCUCUUUCACCGGUGAAGAUAAUGACGGUAACCGGAGAAGAAGCCCCGGCUAACUUCGUACCAGCAGCCGCGGUAAUACGAAGGGGGCUAGCGUUGUUCGGAUUUACUGGGCGUAAAGCGCACGUAGGCGGACUAUUAAGUCAGGGGUGAAAUCCCGGGGCUCAACCCCGGAACUGCCUUUGAUACUGGUAGUCUUGAGUUCGAGAGAGGUGAGUGGAAUUCCGAGUGUAGAGGUGAAAUUCGUAGAUAUUCGGAGGAACACCAGUGGCGAAGGCGGCUCACUGGCUCGAUACUGACGCUGAGGUGCGAAAGCGUGGGGAGCAAACAGGAUUAGAAACCCCUGUAGUCCCA
rnacentral:rRNA from 1 species